rnacentral:rRNA from 1 species
AUUGAACGCUGGCGGCAGGCCUAACACAUGCAAGUCGGACGGUAGCACAGAGGAGCUUGCUCCUCGGGUGACGAGUGGCGGACGGGUGAGUAAUGUCUGGGAAACUGCCCGAUGGAGGGGGAUAACUACUGGAAACGGUAGCUAGUACCGCAUAACGUCGCAAGACCAAAGUGGGGGACCUUCGGGCCUCACACCAUCGGAUGUGCCCAGAUGGGAUUAGCUGGUAGGCGGGGUAACGGCCCACCUAGGCGACGAUCCCUAGCUGGUCUGAGAGGAUGACCAGCCACACUGGAACUGAGACACGGUCCAGACUCCUACGGGAGGCAGCAGUGGGGAAUAUUGCACAAUGGGCGCAAGCCUGAUGCAGCCAUGCCGCGUGUAUGAAGAAGGCCUUCGGGUUGUAAAGUACUUUCAGCGGGGAGGAAGGUGCUGAGGUUAAUAAGCUCAGCAAUUGACGUUACCCGCAGAAGAAGCACCGGCUAACUCCGUGCCAGCAGCCGCAGUAA